UACGUAGGGCGCAAGCGUUGUCCGGAAUUAUUGGGCGUAAAGAGCUCGUAGGCGGUUUGUCACGUCGGCUGUGAAAACCCGAGGCUCAACCUCGGGCCUGCAGUCGAUACGGGCAGACUGGAGGUAUGCAGGGGAGAACGGAAUUCCUGGUGUAGCGGUGAAAUGCGCAGAUAUCAGGAGGAACACCGGUGGCGAAGGCGGUUCUCUGGGCAUGUCCUGACGCUGAGGAGCGAAAGUGUGGGGAGCGAACAGG
rnacentral:rRNA from 1 species